rnacentral:rRNA from 1 species
UUAAUAAUAUUCUUAUUAAAAAUAUAAUUAUCUUAAUAUUUGGUCCUUUCGUACUAAAAUAUUAUAAUUUUUUAAAGAUAGAAACCAACCUGGCUUACGCCGGUUUGAACUCAGAUCAUGUAAGAAUUUAAAAGUCGAACAGACUUAAAAUUUGAACGGCUACACCCAAAAUUAUAUCUUAAUCCAACAUCGAGGUCGCAAUCUUUUUUAUCGAUAUGAACUCUCCAAAAAAAUUACGCUGUUAUCCCUAAAGUAACUUAAAUUUUUAAUCACUAUUAAUGGAUCAAUUAUUCAUAAAUCAAUGGUUUUAAAAAUUAAAAGUUUUUUAAAUUUUAAUAUCACCCCAAUAAAAUAUUUUAAUUUAUAAUAAUAAAACUAAUCUUUACAAUUAAAAUAAAUAAAAUAUAAAGAUUUAUAGGGUCUUCUCGUCUUUUAAAUUAAUUUUAGCUUUUUGACUAAAAAAUAAAAUUCUAUAAAAAAUUCAAAUGAAAC